GCCUAGUAAGCUCGGCGGGUAGAGCAUCAGCCUUGUAAACGCUAGGUCGCGGGUUUGAUUCCCGCCCGGGGCA
rnacentral:tRNA from 1 species